ACAGGGCAAAGAUAUUUUGUCAGGUUGGUUCAUUCACUGUUGUGUCUUCAGUACUUAAUCAGUGCAAGGCACAUAGUACUCAGUAAAUAUUUGUUAAAUGAAUGAAAUAAGUAUGUAUGUGUGUGUGUGUGUGUGUGUGUGUGUGUGUGUGUGUAAUGUUCAAGCUUUUUUUACUUGUGUGGAGCCCCAAACAAAAAAAUUGGAAAACACUCUGUAAACUUCUUCCACUGGUACACUGAAAUAUUGGAUUUCCAUUCAGACAAAAUUCAGAGAAAUGUUUAUGCCCCAUCAAAAGAUGAAAGAUCAUUUACUGUAAUCUUUUUUGUUUAUAUUUCUCUUUUUAAAUUGGGCUUUAGGUGGUAGGGAUGGUGAGCAGGUAUAGUUAGUUUUGAGCCAGUUCCAUUUCUUUGCAAGGGAGUUAUCAGGGCGAUACUUGUGGAAGGGAAAUGUUGACCGUAAAAAUUAUGGAAGGGCACUCACACCAUGACAAAAUGAAUCUCCUGUGUACUCAAGCGGUCAAUGAGUGUUUAAUGAGCUCUACCCACAUAGCAGUGACUCUGCUGGGGCCCUCUGCUCCCUCUCUUUCCAGAAAGGGUAAGAACAGGAAAGAACCAGGUACAAUAAAACAGUUAGAAACCAGACACAGAGCAUUGGAAACAAGGAGACAAAACAAUAAUCAUGCUCUCUGUGAUUUAAUCCUAACAACAUCCCUAUGGGAUAGUGGCUACUAUUGUCCCAUUAGUACUGAGAACUAAGAGAUAAGUAAUUUAUUCAUAGUCCCGUGUCUCUGGCAUUUACGUCUGGGCCAGUUUGACUCCAGGAUGCACAUUCUUAGGCAGUGUGCUUCUGGCCUAAGAUAAGCAGAGUAUCAUAAGCUUACAAUCUAGCUUGGGAGAUGAUAUAGAAUGCUUUGUGCAUGGAAGGCCCUCAAUAAAUAUUUAGUGAAUACUUGUGGCACAUGAAUCAGCUAUCAAGCCAGGUAUGGUACAGGUUAGACUACAGGAGUCCAGAGAUGGGUGAGGUCAUUAAGAAAGGCUUUGGGGGAACUGGUGUGAAUCCAAUUGAUCCUUGAGGAAGGGAGAGGUUUAGGCAGCAGAUGAGUGUGGAAGGCAAGCCAGGUGAGUGACUCUCCUGGUGCCUCUUGGGUAAUCUGGGAACUGUGAAUUUACUGACGCGCAGAGUUUCAUGUUAGGUAGGAAGAAGAGAUAAGGAAAGAAAUAUCCAGCAUUAGAUUUGGUAGGUGAGGUGUUUGUAUGUUAACAAAUCUUUCUCUCUUGGGUUUUUAUGGAAGAUAGUAUAUGUGCUGCUCUGGAAAUGUGAAUUAAUGGUUUGGGCCUGGCCAAAACUCAUUGUUUCCAUUUGUAGCAUAGGCAUAAUCUUUAAAAAGUCAAUUUGUACCCCACUUUGUUCCAAAAAGUAUUGAAGGUAAGAUGUUUUCUUGAGUCCUCUGUCUCCAGUGAUACUGCCUCUGCUUGGAUAGAUUGUUGCACAAAUUACUUGUCAUAGCAGCAUUUUGUGGACCUCAUUGAAAGAGCUCAGAUGGUUUUCACGGUAAAGGAUUUAUGGGAUGGGGUAGCAGGUCUGCAGACCCUGGUUUUAACUUUAUAAAAAUUCCUGUUUUUAAAAAAAUUACUUUACAAAAUCCGGACUGUAGGAAACCUAUAGGAAAAAAAAUGGGCUCAAUUUAAAAAAAUAAAUGGAAAAAAACAAUAGAUGGAGGGGAAAUAUAGAUUUAAAAGAGAAUUAAAACAUACGUAUAAACUAAUUAUAGUGAAUAGAUUUGGAUUCUGAUUCAAACACACUUAAAACAUACACUUCUAUGAGACACUUGGGGACAUUUGAAUGAUUGUAUUUGAUGAUAUAAAGUGUGAAUAUGUUAUUGUGGUUAUGUUUGAAAAGAGAGUCUUAUCUUACAAAACAAGAAACAAAGCCACAGAACCUUAGUGUUAGCCCAAGGCACUUAAAUAUUUAAAUGACUCACUCUUUUUGGAAGUAUUUCUCUCUCUCUCUCUCUCUUUUAAAGUAUUUUCCUGCUCCCUUUGUGCUCCUUUUAAACCUCACACUCUCUAGAAAGUCUUCAUUAAGGUUGUUAGAAUCCUUUGUUAUUGUUGGUCAAAAAAGCACACACAGUUCUGUUAGUUUUGUUGCUCCAAAGAAUUAUGCUCGUGAGUUAAUUGUGAGGCCCAUACAUCUAUUGACCUAAUUUAAGUGUCCCUCAUAACCCAAGUAAAUAUUUGAGCAUCUGCCUGAAAAUCACAUUUGUGUUCUUUUAGGAAGACCUGGAUUUGGUUUAUUCUUAUUUCAGAAUAAAAUAUUUGGAGGGGAACUUAGAUAUUAUAGUUGCCAAAAAUCACUUUACUUACAUUAACUUCUAAACCAUUUCUAUUUAACUAUAUACUUCUUAGAGAUAAUGAGUGGUUUCAAAGUUUCAAUUUUAAUGACACUCAUUGUGACACCUCUUUUCUUACCUGAUCAGGAAGUGGGUUUUGGUGGUUGCCAUCAAUGAUUUCAGCAUUGCUUUAGACAUGCUGAAAUAUCUUAGUUUAAUCCUACGAACGUGAAAAUCCUUCUUAAUGGAGUCCAGAUUUAAGAAUAGACUGUAAGCUUGAGAAAUAUCCACCUGCAAUCUGAGUAGAUGAUAUUGUCAUGCGUAAUUUAGAAGCCAAGUGACUCGAGUUUAGGUACUUUGGAUCCUCAGUCUAAUUAUAUCUUAGAGCUCAUGAGGCAAGUGCAAUAUUUAAUUGUUAAUGCUCCUUUUCUUAGCAGCCAAGAAGAAAUCUCUUUUAAGGAGCUCUUUUCUUUAGCAAAGCGUAUUAUAUCAAGGUUACAGGGUACCAUAAUUACUGUAUUUACAGUGGCUUAAAAUAUGGUGGCAUUUCACUGAGCACUUUCCACAAAUACUACAUCAGUGUAGCGUAGCCAAGUCAAUACUGAACGCGAUGUCCAGAGACCUGCGCUUAGGGACAGCUCUGCUCCUAACUAGCUGUACCAGCCUUUUUGUGAUUCAACUUUCCUUGACUGUAAAAUGGGUGUAAUAAUAUUUACUCUAUGGGGAAGCUGUGACAAUCAAGUGAGAAAAGUCUGUAUAGCAAGUGGCCCAUUGUAGGUACUCAAUAAAUAGUGGUCGUUGAACCUCUUUAGCUUGUUCCUCAUUUGUCAAAUUAAAGAGUUGGACUAGUUCUCUAGCGUCAAUUUCAGUUCUAUGAGAAUAUGAUUUUAGUUAUUUAUUUUUUUAAAUGUAUGACCUUUUAUCUGAUCUUUUUUCUCUCUAACUUAAAUAACAUUGUUAGAAAGUGUUUCUGAUGGUUUCAUUUUUGGGUGAAAUCUCCAUACCUGCAUUUGAAACGUAGCAUUUUUGGUUCCUACAACUUUAGGAAGUACAUUUUUCCUUCAUUUUUGUUAUGAUAAAUGGAUAGACUUAGUUUAUUUGACUGAAGAAUCAGGUUUAGUUAGAUCUAUGAGGGUAAAUGCGUGUUGAAAGAGCUCUGAGGAGUUUGCAGUCGUUCCUGAUUUAAGUUGACAAGAAAGAACUUUGAAAAUUACUUAUAAAAGCCACUUCCUCUUCACGAAGUAUAAAAUCGUGCCUUUUUGAGGAAGUGUGUAAAAACAAAAUAGUUGAUAGAGCAAUCUUCAUAAAGGAUUGUCAGGGCAGAAUCUGCAAAACAUUGAUAUAAAAUUUCAUGUUGUGAAUGAAUACGUACGAAAGUGGAAAGCCAAAAUUUUCUCUGAAAAAAAAUCUGAUUUAAAAAAUCAGUUGAAGGGUCAAGUCACUGUGAAAAGUCACUUUAGUUUGAAUUUUUUUUUCUAUUAGAAAUACAAAAUGUGAUUAAUGAGGAGGCAAGUUAAAACAUUAUUGUAUGUAUGUAUGUAUUUUAAUUUAAAAAUGUAUUUCAGUUUGAAGUUAUAUCCAGUUAAGGUGUUGGGCAGAAAAAAGAUUGCAAGAAAAUGAAAAUGAGAAUUGAUUUAAAAAAAAAAGGUAUAAUAAUGAAAAAUAAGAGGAGAAGAACAUGAAAAAAGAGGGAAGGAACGAGCAAUGGGAAGGCGAUUGACCAUGUUAGUUUCUGAGGUACUAAAGAUGUUUUGAACUUUAUGCUAAAUUGCUCAUCACCUGCUUCUACUCUGUUCUUUGAAAUAAUUUUCAACAUUGUUCACUGACACUUAUUCGCUGGAGUUCUCAGACUGGCAUCACUAAGGUGGAGGUUGUUACUUAAGCUGCAAAAGAAAGCACCAGAGCCGUGUAGUCUAGGAGGCUGACACGAAUCAGGCUGAUGGGUUUCUGGCCCAUCCAAAGGGUCCCCCUGCUGAUACAGAACCUUCAGAAUCAAUGUAGUGACCAGCAGGUAAUACAUAAUUUUACACGGAGGGAAUGCAGGUUUGGGAGGCCCUUAUGAAUAGUAACUUGUUUCCUGUGACAUUUCUGCUUUUAGGCACCCCACCUCCUAAAUGAACACCCCACCAUUGAAAUGAACUCAAGAUGACCUCUUUAUCAUUGCAUUCCAAUGAGCCUUCCCAGAGACCUAUUAGUUUUGUUUGUUUGUUUGUUUUUUAAACUCCAUUUCUGCCAUAAAUUGGCCGUGGGACUCUGGCCAGUCAUUACACCUCUCUGUGCCUCAGUUUCCCCUCAGAGAUGUGGAUGUUGCCUUAGAUGAUCUUGCAGCUGCUCCAGUUUUCCAUGUCUCUAGCCUGGGGGUUGGCAAACUACUGCCUGCAGGCCAAAUCUGGCCUGUUAUCUAUUUUUAUAUGGUUUGUGAGUUUUUACAUUUUUAAAUGGUUGAAAAAGAAUCAAAAUAAUAUAUUGUUACAUGUGAAAAUCAUAUGAAACUCCAAUUUUGGUGUCCAGAAGUAAAGUUGUAUUGAGAACAAAUACUGCCUGGGGCUGCUUUGGUGCUACCAAGGCUGAGUUGAGUAGUUGGACAGAGUCCACAUGGCUGCCAAAGCCAAAAAUAUUUACGAUUUGGCCCCUUACAGAAAAUGUUUGCCAGCCCUGCUGUAACCCGAGGACAGACUUGGGACUGUACUCUUCAGAAAUUGAGUGCUCCAUGAGUAUAUAGUCUUAGUUUUACUUAGGCUGCUCUUAGAUCUAGAUUUAAUUAUAUUGAGAUGGGAAUUCUGCUUUUAUUAUUUUUUCCAGGAGAAAGUAGAAGCUUAGUUAGCUUUUUUCGUAUGCUUUUAAUUAAAAAAAAUCCUGUUUAAAUACUGUAGUUGGUUUGUACUCAGACUUUUUUUUCCCCUCCAGGAAUCAUUGUGGAGAAAGAAGGCAUAAGAUUAUAUUUUUAAACCAUUUGCCUUUUAAACUGGAUUUUUUAACUCCAGAUGUGGACUCAGAAACAGUGAAAAUGUAUUUUUGAUGCUGUCAAAGAGCCAAGAUGGGGAAGGAGAGCUUUACCUCUAUAUUUGAGAGUGAAAUGGAAAUCUUAAUAUUUGCAUUUCCCAUUGUAUGCAAAAAAUACUGUUUUUAGCUUCUUUGAGUAGAGACUCAAGAUUAAUAAGGGAAUGGAAAUGUGUUUAAUUUUAUGAAAACCAACUUUAAACAAACACAUCUUAAAGGUGCAGUUGAUUAUUACAAAUGGAAAUUACAAGAUUAAAAAAUAAAUAUAAACAGUGUCUGCUUAAUAAAGUUUCUUAUUAUUCUAGAAGUUUCUCUGUGAAGCUAAAUCUGCUCAUUUCUGUGUGAGUUAUGAGUUUUAGAGUAUGUGUGUAUGGUUUCCAAUGUUCAUUUAAUUAUAAUUAGAAAGAGAAUCUGCUUUCAGCUCUUGUUCUUGCAGAGCUGUUUGUGUUAUUUUAUAAACCUCUGUCUAGCCCUGGAGUUCCUUUUUAUCUUGAAAGAAGAUGGGCACUUUGAAUUGUUAGUGAGAGACAGAAGGGAGGCAGUCAACACAUGUCACCUUUCAUCUCUCCUCCAAGAGAAAGGAUUAAAACAGAAGUUUCUCUAUUGAUAAAGAUUUGUAAAGAAAUUCUUUAGACAACAGUUGUAUAACUUUAGACAACCGUGACAGUGACUCAGUAUCUAAGCUCCUAGAGAACCUCAGACAUUUUCUAAACAAUAUCACAAAUUCUUUCAGGAUGCAGGGGGCAAAUGCCAAAUCCCCAUUUUUCAUAGGGAAAAACUGAGGCUGGUGGUUGUUACUUAGCUAGCUGACUCUGAAUGGGGGUAGAGCUCUUGUUUUUCCCUGUUCAGUCUGAGGUGCAUUUCAUUUGCCUAUCCUGUCCUUAAGCAGAACUUGUAAAAUCACGUGUCAUUUCUUCAGUUAUAUUUAGGAUACAGCCUGAAACACUGUAUAAACACCCUGUGAUGGAACACGGAAGGCUGCCGCCUGGUAAUUACUAUGUGGUUCCAGUAUCCUAUCAUCUGCAUUAUCCAGAUUAGAAUGUACCACUUCUAGGUUGGUCUAGAAGAGUGAACCCGUUGUGUACGGAACCAAAAGGAUCUUGCCUCAUUGUUCCCCUUUGGGUGAAGAACUUUGUGAUAUACCGAAGACCAUGGAACUUCACUCUUGUUCUAAAGAAAACACUUGUAACUGAAAUUCAUGAGAAGUGUCUGGAAUUACCAUCUGAAGGAAUUUUUGCCACAGAAGGAGGAAGGGCAGGAAAUGAUUAAUUUUUUAUUAUGUGAGUAGCUCUAGUAAAAGGAUUGAUGGUGGAAAAUAUUACCUAAAGUUUUUGUGCAUUUUUUUCCAUGGUGCAUUGUUAAAUAUGUAUAAUCAAGAAUUGUGUCACUGAUGGCUCGGUGUGUCAUGACAUGAACAAAUCUGAAGCCAGCCUUCCCACUGCCCCCCAACCCCCAUUAGUCAAGGAAAUAAUACAGGAGUAAAUGUUUGUUUAUCAUUUUUUGGUAU